rnacentral:lncRNA from 1 species
CUUUUCUGGAUAGACGGAUGGAGACAUGAGGAAACAAGUUUGAUUUGAACAAAGGGACCACAGGCUGCCUGGAGCCUCCUCCUACACUGUGCAGUGUCCUUUGAGAACGAAUUGAUGGUAUUAAGGUUUAUGUACUUGAGUGCAGAUGCUCAGAGGCCAGGCCUGUUGGCAGUUGGGAAAUACUGAACCCACAAGGUGAAAGAGAUAACCAGCUCCCCAAAAGUUGUCAUCUGACCCCCACAGGAGUGCUACAGCACGUGUAUACACCCAGAGAACAAGCCUAUUGGAGAGUCCACACAGCUGUCCAUCUGGGAAUCCUGACUCAGAACUGACUUCCUCAGUGAAGGACUAGGGCAACAGGUCUCUUCAGGGAAGGAAGGCGGACACAGAAAGGGCUGAACCAGCAAGGACAGAGUCAAGCAAAUGACAGCUACUCAGAAACACAACCUCUUCACUCCAGAACCCCACUACAUCCCUGGCACUGCACAAUAAAAGAAAAACCCUACACAGACUGUGUGUGCACACCUACAGAGACUUACGUGCAACACUGGAGCACAUAAGCUAUGCUGGUUUCUAUCCUCAACUGCGCUACCAGGUGGGAAACACCUAUGGCCGCACUACUGCACAGUUGCUCACAGAUCCCAGUGUACAGAAGAGCCCCUGCUCUGUUCUGUCACCUAUGUCCAAGCCCAAGUUCAUUGAGGACUUCAGCAAAUCCAAGCCACCAUGGAUGCCCUGCAGGGACCUGACAGAGCCUUACAUCCCCCACUAUACCAAUCUGAAACCCUACAAGAAUUUCGAGAUUCUGGGCAAGCUCCCACGCCAGGAGGUGGACACCCAGGGGAUGCCACAGGGAGAGAACAUAUCCAGACAUGUUCCACUACCUGCGGGCUUCAUGCCUUAUCCCCCCUACCCACCAUGCCCUCCAGGCAGAAAGGGGGAAGCUAGAGACCUGGGCCAUCCAGGUCUACUGCUGGCAUAUGGGGAAGAGGCUUGGAAGAAUGCAGCACCUCUUCAGGAGACCCCAGGGAGGUACCACCAGGUAACUGGAGACACUCUGGCCUGAGGUUCCCUCCCCAGGUGGUAGCUAUGUAGUAGUAAUUUGCACUUCCCUGUCCCAGCUAUACCACUGCAGGAGGGACGAGUACCUGCCUCCACAUCCCCCACAGGAGACACUAGAUGUGGGCAGAUACCAGCGACUGCCCCAGCUAGACCACCCCAACCUAAUCCAACGCAAGGCCAUCUCAGGUAAGCAUUGGGUACCUAAGCUGUUCUCCAUAAUGUUCCAAGGGUCCAGACAAGAUAACUGGGGGUUUACUACCUGGGACCCCUCCUACACAGAGAACAGGUGAGUCUCUCAUGUUUAACACUUUAUCUUAAACCAGCCCAGCUACUCCCAAAGAGG